rnacentral:rRNA from 1 species
GGUAAGCCUAAACCCUGUGAAAUAAGCAUAAUCGGAUGCCGUUUGAUUGGCGGAGUGUUGAAUGGACUAACGAGCGCAGCGCUGUCUCUGUUGGAGGUGUAGUGAAGUUGGAAUGGGAGUGCAGAUGCUCCCGUGGAUAGUGGGACGAUAAGACCCUAUGAAGCUUUACUGUAAGCAUGUACGGUUAUUGGGGAGGAAUACCUAUACAUAAAGACCGUAGGUCUGUGGAAUGGCUAAAUUUAGCUCCCUCCCCCAACUUAGGUGUAUGCUUGUUAGUUUUGGUGGGGUGCCAGCGCGUUACUAGGAACAUGGUUGCUAGCAAGAGUUAAAGACUUAUAGACUGUGUACGUUACGUCGUUACUCAGAGACAAGAGUCGGCAAAGUGACCCGCCCAAAUAUCGUGAAAUAAGUGUGGCCGUAAGAGAAUAGAAGUUACUCUAGGGAUAACAGG